rnacentral:rRNA from 1 species
AGUGAAUAGAUACCCGGGUAGUCCCAGCCGUAAACGAUGCGCGUUAGGUGUAUCGGUGACCACGAGUCACCGAGGUGCCGAAAGAGAAAUCGUGAAACGUGCCGCCUGGGAAGUACGGUCGCAAGGCUGAAACUUAAAGGAAUUGGCGGGGGAGCACCACAACAGGUGGAGCCUGCGGUUUAAUCGGACUCAACGCCGGAAAUCUCACCGGAUAAGACAGCUGGAUGAUAGUCGGGCUGAAGACUCUACUUGACUAGCUGAGAGGAGGUGCAUGGCCGUCGUCAGUUCGUACUGUGAAGCAUCCUGUUAAGUCAGGCAACGAGCGAGACCCACGCCAACAGUUGCCAGCUCGUCCUCCGGGAUGGUGGGGACACUGUUGGGACCGCCUCUGCUAAAGAGGAGGAAGGAAUGGGCAACGGUAGGUCAGCAUGCCCCGAAUUAUCCGGGCUACACGCGGGCUACAAUGGGUGGGACAAUGGGUAUCGACACCGAAAGGUGAAGGCAAUCUCCUAAACCCAUCCUUAGUUCGGAUUGUGGGCUGC